rnacentral:rRNA from 1 species
CCUACGGGUGGCAGCAGUAGGGAAUUUUCGGCAAUGGGGGGAACCCUGACCGAGCAACGCCGCGUGAACGAAGAAGUUAUUCGUAAUGUAAAGUCCCUUUAACAGGGGAGCAAGAGACAUUUGACGGUACCUGAAGAAUAAGCCCCGGCUAAAUACGUCCCAACAGCCGCGGUAAUACGCAGGGAGCGAGCGUUAUCCGGAAUUAUUGGGCGUAAAGGGUGCGUAGAUGGCAGAGUAAGUCAUUGGUAAAAAUGCUGGGCUCAACCCAGUAGAGCAAAAGAUACUGGAAAGCUAGAGUAGGACAGAGGCAAGUGGAACGAGAUGUGUAGCGGUAAAAUGCAUAAAUAUA